AAUGGCAAAUGACGAUUGCUAAAUUCUUAUCCUACACACUGAAUAUUUUUAUGUGUUGACUACCCAACUCCGCUUAUUAUCUGAUGCCAUU